rnacentral:misc_RNA from 1 species
AAACUGCAAAGGGUGUUUGGUUUAAGGUGAAAAUGAAUCAUUCUAGUUCUCUUGUUAUGCUAGUUGCGAAAGUUAAAUUCUCUGGAAAUUCAUUGAACCUAAAUUUCUUAAUAUUGUUACCUGAGUUUAAGUACACUGGGACCUUAAAGGAGCACCAUUUCUUCUCAUCAUAAUUCCCCUUAUUUAUGUGUCGACAGAACAAAAUGACUCAUUCAAGGACAAUGCAAUUUAAAUUCUUGAUCAA